UACGUAGGUGGCAAGCGUUGUCCGGAUUUACUGGGCGUAAAGAGCGCGCAGGCGGUCGGCCAAGUCGAGUGUGAAAGCCCCCGGCUCAACUGGGGAGGGUCAUUCGAUACUGGUCGACUCGAAGGCAGGAGAGGGAAGCGGAAUUCCCGGUGUAGUGGUGAAAUGCGUAGAUAUCGGGAGGAACACCGAGUGGCGAAGGC
rnacentral:rRNA from 1 species